rnacentral:rRNA from 1 species
GUGGGGAAUAUUGGACAAUGGGGGGAACCCUGAUCCAGCCAUGCCGCGUGUGUGAAGAAGGCCUUUUGGUUGUAAAGCACUUUAAGCGAGGAGGAGGCUACCGAGAUUAAUACUCUUGGAUAGUGGACGUUACUCGCAGAAUAAGCACCGGCUAACUCUGUGCCAGCAGCCGCGGUAAUACAGAGGGUGCAAGCGUUAAUCGGAUUUACUGGGCGUAAAGCGCGCGUAGGUGACCAAUUAAGUCAAAUGUGAAAUCCCCUAGCUUAACUUGUGAAUUGCAUUCGAUACUGGUGGGCUAGAGUAUGGGAGAGGAUGGUAGAAUUCCAGGUGUAGCGGUGAAAUGCGUAGAGAUCUGGAGGAAUACCGAUGGCGAAGGCAGCCAUCUGGCCUAAUACUGACACUGAGGUGCGAAAGCAUGGGGAGCAAACAGGAUUAGAAACCCGUGUAGUCC